rnacentral:lncRNA from 1 species
UUUCGACUUCGGUUCGUUCUUUACUAUUUUUCAUACUGUCACCAGAAGUUUUCGCCCUUCCGUAUUUUCUGGGUUCUGUCAUUCAGCUGGGGACUUUCGUUCUGUUAACAACUUCCAGUGCUCGCUUCGGCGGCCUGGCUAAGUUCGUCAUGUAGUCCCACUGUUUCCCUAACCCGAGAGGUCUCAUCUAGUUUUAACAACUUAGUAUAAUCUGUACUUUGUCCUCGGGUUUUGUAUCUGGUUCGUCACACUGUGCGUUGAGGUCAUUCUCCGCCAUGUGUUCCUUCACUCCAAGAUCAGGAGCAGCAAACUUGUGUAGUGAAGUGAUGUGAAUAUGGACAAACCUUCUGAGUGAGAAGUUCGCAGUCAGUGCUGUGAUUAUGUGUUUUAAUAAUAAGUCUGUACUUCAGUAAGUCUGUGUUUUAGAUUAGUAGUCCAAAGUUCUGAAUAUGUUUGCAAGUAGCAAAACGGAUCUGUUCAAAUCAUGUAGUCUUUUCGUUGAGACAUUUUGAGUUUGCGUUCACCUGGGUAUUGGACCAAUCUUGCCCAGUGUGUUUUAGUCAUACCUUGGGAGAGGUUAUCUUUGCACUCUUCAGUGAGUUAGUUAAGUUCUGAUGAUUUGUUUGAAUUUGUACGGUUCUUAUUCGAGCUGUUGUUAUUCUGUUGAAGCCAGUGCCCAUGGCGUGCCCGUGCUGAUUUUAAUUUAGUUCUGUUUGUGAGUGCCGUUGGUUCGGUUUUUUGGUAUUUGUGAUUAUGUGUAUGCAUAUGAGUAUGGAUUUGUAUGGGCUUGAGUUUUGCCCUUUGUGUGAGUUCUGUGCUUGAGUUAAGUGUGAUCUGUCCGUUAUUAAAAUGGUUGUUUCUGUUAUUGUUAAAUCGGUGUUCAGUUCAAGUAGCCUAUUUCCUUUGAUGGUGACUUUGUCGCCUGGCGCCCAAACAUUUGUGAGAUUAUAAAGUCAAAGUUGAUCACCCUCACCCACUCUACAUCUAAGGCUUGCCGGUGCCUCCGUUUAACAAUAUUCAGUUUUAGUCUGUCAGUAAUUAUGAGGCUACAUUUUGGCGCCCAACGUGGGGCUGGCUUUGUCCGUCCUUGUUUGUGUUUGUAUUCUUAAGUUCCUAAACUUGUGUUAAGUUAGUUAUAGUAAGUUUCUUAGUGUAAGUAGUUUUCAGUUAAACAUGCAUAUAAUUAUAGACUGAGUGCAAAUACAAGGAUCAAUUAUUUUAUACUGUACAUGUUCUUUAGUUUUAAGUCAAUUGUUUUGAGUGAGUGUGUCGAACCUUGUCUUACUUUGGGCUUUCUGCCUGCGUGUUUGUCCUACAUGGACUUUGGGAGUUCACAGUGACUGUUGGCAUUGUGCCUUCUCCGUGUUCAUCCCACUGAUUGGUUUCAUUGCCCUAUCAUGACCUUCCGUCAUUUCUGCCUAUUGUAACUUAACCUUUUGUUCUUGGCGUGUGGCUGGUGUAUUUGUAUUUGAUGUGUGUAAAUGCUCUAUCCCAGGUGGAUCAAUGUUUUGCGCUUGUCCAUGGUGUUCUACAAUAUGAGUUCACAGUGUAAUGUAUUUUCAAUUUCCCCCAAUUUUAUAUUGUGUGGGUCCAUUUGCUGUGUUCCUCAGUUCAUUGUGUUUCCUUGUGUGGUAUGACGCCUUGCGCUUCCAUGUCGUCAGUUUAACCCCCUUGUGUGAUGCAGCUAGUUCGGUUUGAACUUCUGUUACUAUCACUUUUAUUUUUUGCCCUAGUUUUAUAACUUUUACGUUAGUUGUGUCCAGACUAAUGUUUCAAGUGUUUUGGGGUUAUUUUCUUUAAUACAGUCAUGUCUAGCUGUGCGCUAUGUUCUGAGUAGCUCAGCUUUCUUCAGUAAAGUUCUCCCAGUUGUUUACUAUGGUAUGAGGCUCCACUGUAGGAAGGGGGGGAUGUAACGUCCACUUUCGUCCGUUACUUGUUUAAAUUUCCCGCUCUACUACUGUCCUCUGAAUUUUCCAUACCUCGUUCCGUUUCGAUCCUCUUUUCGACUUCGGUUCGUUCUUUACUAUUUUUCAUACUGUCACCAGAAGUUUUCGCCCUUCCGUAUUUUCUGGGUUCUGUCAUUCAGCUGGGGACUUUCGUUCUGUUAACAACUUCCAGUGCUCGCUUCGGCGGCCUGGCUAAGUUCGUCAUGUAGUCCCACUGUUUCCCUAACCCGAGAGGUCUCAUCUAGUUUUAACAACUUAGUAUAAUCUGUACUUUGUCCUCGGGUUUUGUAUCUGGUUCGUCACACUGUGCGUUGAGGUCAUUCUCCGCCAUGUGUUCCUUCACUCCAAGAUCAGGAGCAGCAAACUUGUGUAGUGAAGUGAUGUGAAUAUGGACAAAUCUUCUGAGUGAGAAGUUCGCAGUCAGUGCUGUGAUUAUGUGUUUUAAUAAUAAGUCUGUACUUCAGUAAGUCUGUGUUUUAGAUUAGUAGUCCAAAGUUCUGAAUAUGUUUGCAAGUAGCAAAACGGAUCUGUUCAAAUCAUGUAGUCUUUUCGUUGAGACAUUUUGAGUUUGCGUUCACCUGGGUAUUGGACCAAUCUUGCCCAGUGUGUUUUAGUCAUACCUUGGGAGAGGUUAUCUUUGCACUCUUCAGUGAGUUAGUUAAGUUCUGAUGAUUUGUUUGAAUUUGUACGGUUCUUAUUCGAGCUGUUGUUAUUCUGUUGAAGCCAGUGCCCAUGGCGUGCCCGUGCUGAUUUUAAUUUAGUUCUGUUUGUGAGUGCCGUUGGUUCGGUUUUUUGGUAUUUGUGAUUAUGUGUAUGCAUAUGAGUAUGGAUUUGUAUGGGCUUGAGUUUUGCCCUUUGUGUGAGUUCUGUGCUUGAGUUAAGUGUGAUCUGUCCGUUAUUAAAAUGGUUGUUUCUGUUAUUGUUAAA